GAGUUACUCUUCCGAAAAAUAAAGACCCGCUAUAAUUACAUUUCCCAUCAUACGGCCAAUUAACUAUCAUUCCCAUCAUGCAACGAGGCUCCUCAUUCCCGCCCUUAAUCCGGGAAGGAGGGGGCGCGGUGCUCUCUGGGACUUGUAGUUGGAAGCCUUGGGAGUUAUGCGUUACUGACUGGCGUGAUCUAAAGGGUUUCCUUUCAAGGAAUGUGAUGACCUCCAAACAGAGAGUCUAUGCUGAUAGCCAUCAUCCGUGACAACUGAAAGACCUGAUGUGGCAACUCCCAGCCUGUAACACCAGAGGGUCAACAUUCCCAACCCUCUCCCCUAAAACCCACUGGCAUAUAUAACUGCUUCAAGAUUCUGUGCCGCACCCGCCUUAAGAUGGUUCUUUUGGACGUUAGUCAGCCAUCUUACCUCUUGCUAGCAAGCUGUAAUAAAAUGCCCUUUCUCUGCCA